GAAGAUCUACAAAAGAAGUGAAAAUAGCCUUAGCUGAUGACAUUCCACCAUUGUGAUCUGUUUCUGCCCCACCCUAACUGAUCAAUAUACUUUGUAAUCUCCCCCACCCUUAAGAAGGUUCUUUGUAGGCCGGGCACGGUGGCCCAAGCCUGUAAUCCUAGCUCUUUGGGAGGCCGAGGCGGGCAGAUCACGAGGUCAGAAGAUCAAGACCAUCCUGGCUAACACGGUGAAACCCUGUCUCUACUAAAAAUACAAAAAAAAAUUAGCUGGGCGUAGUGGCGGGCGCCUGUGGUCCCAGCUACUCCGGAGGCUGAGGCAGGAGAAUGGCUUGAACUCGGGAGGCGGAGCUUGCAGUGAGCCGAGAAAGAGCCACUGCACUCCAGCCUGGGCGACAGAGCCAGACUCCGUCUCAAAAAAAAAAAAAAAAAGGUUCUUUGUAAUUCUCCCCACCCUUGAGAAUGUACUUUGUGAGAUCCACCCCUGCCCACAGAACAUUGCUCCUAACUCCACCGCCUAUCCCAAAACCUAUAAGAACCAAUGAUAAUCCCACUACCCUUUGAUGACUCUCUUUUUGGACUCAGCCCGCCUGCACCCAGGUGAAAUAAACAGCCUCGUUGCUCACACAAAGCCUGUUUGGUGGUCUCUUCACACGGACGCAUGAGACAUUUGGUGCCGAAGACCCGGGUCAGCGGGACUCCUUCGGGACAGCAGUCCCCUGUCCUCACCUUCACUCCCUGAAGAGAUCCACCUACAACCUCAGGUCCGCAGACCAACCAGCCCAAGGAACAUCUCACUGAUUUUAAAUUGGGUAAGUGGCCUCUUUUACUCCUUCUCCAACCUCUCUCACUAUCCCUCAACCUCUUUCUCCUUUCAAUCUUGGCACCAUCCUUCAAUCUCUCCCUUCUCUUAAUUUAAAUUCCUUUCAUUUUCUGGUAUAGACAAAGGAGACACAUUUUAUCCGUGGACCCAAAACUCUGGCGCCGGUCACGGACUUGGGAAGGCAGCCUUCCCUUGGUGUUUAAUCAUUGUGGGGACGACUGCCUGAUUAUUCACCCACAUUCCAUUUGUGUCUGAUCUCCGCGGGGACACCUGCCUUGGUCAUUCACCCACAUCCCUUGGUGGCAAGUCAAUUGCAGGGACGCCUGCUUUGGCUGCUCACCUUACCCCUUCUCUCCGUGUCUCUACCCCUUCUCUACUUUCCUGAGGGGCAAGCACCCCCCACCCCGUUUCCAUUUUCCUGGGGGGCAAGCACCUCCCAUCCCUUCUCCACUUUCCUGGGGGAUAAGCAUCCCCCACCCCUUCUCUCCGUGUCUCUACCCUUCUCUUUAAACUUGCCUACUUCACUAUGGGCAACCUUCCACCCUCCAUUCCUCCUUCCUCUCCCUUAGCCUGUGUUCUCAAGAACUUAAAACCUCUUCAACUCUCGCCUGACCUAAAACCUAAAUGUCUUAUUUUCUUCUGCAAUGCCGCUUGACCCCAAUACAAACCAGACAGUGGUUCCAAAUAGCCAAAAAAUGGCACUUUCAAUUUUUCCAUCCUACAAGAUCUAAAUAAUUCUUGUCAUAAAAUGGGCAAAUGGUCUGAGGUGCCUGACGUUCAGGCAUUCUUUUAUACAUCGGUCCCUCCCUAGUCUCUGUUCCCAAUGCAGUUCAUCCCAAAUCUUCCUUCUUUCCCUCCUGCCUGUCCCCUCAGUUCCAACCCCAAGCGUUGCUGAGUCUUGAAUCUUCCUUUUCUACAAACCCAUCUGACUUCUCCCCUCCUUCCCAGGCUGCUCCUCACCAGGCCGAGCUAGGUCCCAAUUCUUCCUCAGCCUCUGCUCCUCCACCCUAUAAUCCUUUUAUUACCUCCCCUCCUCACACCCAGUCCAGCUUACAGUUUCUUUCCGUGACUAGCCCUCCUCCAUCUGCCCAACAGUUUCCUCUUAAAGAGGUGGCUGGAGCUAAAGGCACAGUCAAGGUUAAUGCUCCUUUUUCUUUAUCCGACCUCUCCCAGAUCAGUUAGCGUUUAGGCUCUUUUUCAUCAAAUAUAAAACCCAGCCCAGUUCAUGGCCCAUUUGGCAGCAAUCCUGAGAUGUUUUACAGCCCUAGACCCUGAAAGGUCACAAUGCCGUCUUAUUCUCAAAAUGCAUUUUAUUUUAUUACCCAAUCUGCUCCUGACAUUAAAUAAAGCUCCAAAAAUUAAAUUCCGGCCCUCAUACCCCACAACAGGACUUAAUUAACCUCGCCUUCAAGGUGUACAAUAAUAAGAGUAGAGGCAGCCACGUAGCAAUGUAUUUCUGAGUUGCAAUUCCUUGCCUCCACCGUGAGACAAACCCCAGCCACAUCUCCAGAACACAAGAACUCCAAACGCCUGAACCGCAGCUGCCAGGGGUUCCUCCAGAACCUCCUCCCCCAGGAGCUUGCUACAAGUUUUGGAAAUCUGGCCACCGGGCCAAGGAAUGCCCGCAGCCCGGGAUUCCUCCUAAGCCAUGUCCCAUCUGUGAAGGACCCCCAAUGAAAAUCAGACUGUUCAACUCACCUGGCAGCCACUCUUUUGUUUAGUUUCUCAGUUCAUACAAAACCGCAUCCAGGCCAUCACCAAUAAUUCUAUACGACAAACACUCCUUCUAACAACCCCACAAUAUCACCCCUUACCCCAAAAUCUUCCUUCAGCUUAAUCUCUCCCACUCUAGGUUCCCACACCAACCCCUAAUCCCGCUCGAAGCAGCCCUGAGAAACAUCGCCCAUUAUCUCUCCAUACCACCCCAAAAAAUUGUUGCCACCCCAACACUUUACCACUAUUUCGUUUUAUUUUUCUUAUUAAUAUAAGAAGACAGGAAUGUCAGGCCUCUGAGCCCAAGCUAAGCCAUCAUAUCCCCAGUGACCUGCUCGUAUACAUCUAGAUGGCCUGAAGCAACUGAAGAUCCACAAAAAAAGUGAAAAUAGCCUUAACUGAUGACAUUCCACCAUUGAUUUGUUUCUGCCCUACCCUAACUGAUCAAUGUACUUUGUAAUCUCCCCCCAACCCUUAAGAAGGUUCUCUGUAAUUCUCCCCACCCUUGAGAAUGUACUUUAUGAGAUUCACCCUCUGCCUGCAAAACAUUGCUCCUAACUCCACUGCCUAUCCCAAAACCUAUAAGAACAAUGAUAAUCCCACCACCGUUGCUGACUCCUUUUUCGGACUCAGCCUGCCUGCACCCAGGUGAAAUAAACAGCCUUGUUGCUCACACAAAGCCUGUUUGGUGGUCUCUUCACACAGACAUGUGAGAUCGCGAUGAGGACUGAGAUCCCACCCCAGUUGAACCCAAGAUAUUUUUUCCUAGAAAAAGAUUAAAAAAUGCUACUCUGCUGAGACAUCACAAAGAUCAGGAAGCAAAAAGCAAAAAAAUAGCUGGGCGUGGUGGCUCAUGCCUGUAAUCCCAGUAGUUUCGGAGAGUGAGGUGGGCAGAUCUCUUGAGCCCAGGAAUUCAAGACCUGCCUGAUUGGCCGGGUGCAAUGGCUCAUGGCUGUAAUGCCAGUACUUGCGGAGGCUGAGGUGGGCAGGUCACCUGAGGUCAAGAGUUUGAGACCACCCUUGGCAACAUGGUGAAAUCUUGUCUCUACUAAAAAUAAAAAAUUAGCCAGGUGUGGUGGCAGGCACCUUAAUCCCAGCUACUCAGGAGGCUGAGGCACAAGAAUUGCUUGAACGAGGGAGGCAGAGGUUGCAAUAAGCCGAGAUCAUGCCACUGUACCCCAGCCUGGGCGACACAGCAAGACUCUGUCUCAAAAAAAAAAAAAAAAAAAAAAAAAAAAGUCCUGCCUGAGCAACAUAGUGAGACCCCAUCUCUACAAAAGAAAAAAAAAUUAAAAAGUAUCCAGGUGAGGUGGCACACACCUGUAGUCCCAGCUACUCCAGAGCCUGAGGCAGGAGGGUCACUCGAGCCCAGGAGUCUGAGGCUGCAGUGAGCCAUGAUUGCAUCACUGCACUCCAGCCUGGGCAACAGACCAAGAUUCUGUCUCAAAGAAAAAGAAAAAAAAAAUGCAUCUUAAGUCCACCCCAGGCAGGGCAGGGCCAGAGAGAAUCCAAGGCCAGAAAAGAUGAGUGGGGGGAGGCUGUUGAUGGGGUUGGGGUGCAGAGGGGACUCCACUCCAGAGCUCUGCCAGAGAGAGAGACAAACGUCACUCUUUCCUUCCGGUUUGGCAAAUCACCCAGAACCUUCCAUGUCCUCCCCAACGGUGGUGCAUGCCACACCCAGAAAGACCCCUGCCUGUGACUAGGGGGUGCUGGCCACAUUCCAGGUCAUGGACAGUUUGGUGACUCUCCACCGGGAUUUUGUGCCAGCCCAGCCACAUCAUGAAUCAGGGCCCAUAGGAUGGGGGCCGAGGGGAGGAGGGACGGAGCCAGGAAGCCUUUCCUGGGAGGUCUCCCAGGCAUUCUGGGUGGGGGGAAAAGGUAGAAUGGGAUAACUUACCUGGAGAGGCAGCGAGCAGUGGAUGAGGACAGCUCACCAGGAGGCCAUGGCAGGUUUCCUGGGGCGGGGAGGAAGUGGGAACAGAGAAGAGGAGGAACAAGUACGUGUACAUUGCAGCACACACCUGUCACCAGGUGACCUAGGGUGUUCUCCCCUGCAGCAGGGAUAUUGUCUGGAAGCCAGUUUCCGGGGUGUCCUAAUCUCGCCUGUGAGACCGGAUAAGGGUGCAGGAACUUGGAGGCCCGGGACGUGACCCGGGCUCCAUCUGUAGCCUGAAGGCUGCCUGGCUUUGGGUGCACAGCUGGUCCAUCCAUAAAGUGAAAACGCUGGUCUAAAGCUUUGAUUCUCAAAGUGGGUCCCACGGGGGCCCCAUGGGUUUCUCGGGAGAUGGUAAAGGGAGAGAAGUGAGCAGAAUUUUAACCAUCCCACCCAUUCAGUCAGUCAAUCAACAAACAUUGCUUAUGCACCUAUUGCAUACCAGACCCAGGGAGAGUGCAGGGAGCAAGUGGGUGAAUCAGACAAUACAUGACUUUUGUAAGGGAACAAUUCUUCAGGCCUCUGAGCCCAAGCUAAGCCACCAUCUCCCCUGUGACCUGCACGUGUACAUCCAGAUGGCCUGAAGCAACUGAAGAUCCAGAAAAAAAGUGAAAAUAGCCAGUUCCUGCCUUAACUGAUGACAUUCCACCAUUGCGAUUUGUUCCUGCCUCACCCUAACUGAUCAAUUGACUUUGUGACAAUACACCACCCCCUUGCAAUAAUGUACUUUGUGAUAUUCCCCCGCCCUUGUGAACAUACUUUGUACAAUAUACCCUCGUCACCCUUGAGAAGGUGCUUUGUAAUAUCCUCCUCCCUGCCCUUAAGAAGGCACUUUGUAAUAUUCUCCCCCUCCAGCCCUUAAGAAGAUACUUUGUAAUAUUCUCCUCACCCUUGAGAAUGUACUUUGUAAGAUCUACCACCUGCCCGCAAAAAAUUGCUCCUAACUCCACUGCCUAUCCCAAACCUAUAAGAACUAAUGAUAAUCCCACCACCCUUUGCUAACUCUCUUUUCGGACUCAGCCCGCCUGCACCCAGGUGAUUAAAAAGCUUUAUUGCUCACACGAAGCCUGUUUGGUAGACUCUCUUCACACGGGCGAGUGUGACAUUUGGUGCCGAAGACCCAGGACAGGAGGACUCCUUUGGGAGACCGGUCUCCUGUCCUCGCCCUCACUCCGUGAGGAGAUCCACCUGCAACCUCAGGUCCUCAGACCAACCAGCCGAAGGAACAUCUCACCAAUUUCAAAUGGGCUUAGCGGCUGAAGACUGAUGCUGCCUGGUCGCCUCGGAAGCCCCCUGGACCAUCAUGGACGCCGAGCUUCGGGUAACUCUCACAGUGGAGGCCUGUUUGGUGACUUUCUUCGCACCGACGUGCGUGACACAAUGUUUGCAGAAUAUGAAGGUGGCUGUCACGUGGUCUGGGCUUCCUGGAGGUUUGAGCUGGGAGCUGAAGCCCCGUAGGAGUUCUGUAAGUCAAAAGGGAAGAGAAGAGCAUUCCACGUAGAGAAAAGAAUCUGUGCUCCAGGCGCGGUGGCUCACGAUUGUAAUCUCAGCACUUGGUGUCAGGCCUCUGAGCCCAGGCUAAGCCAUUGUAUAUCCCCCGUGACCUGCAUGUAUACAUCCAGAUGGCCUGAAGCAGCUGAAGAACCACAAGAGAAGUGAAAAUAGCCAGUUCCUGCCUUAACUGAUGUCAUUCCACCAUUGUGAUUUGUUCCUGUCCCACCUUUACUGAUCAAUUAACUUUGUGACAUUUCUUCUCCUGGACAAUGAGUCUCAUGAUCUCCCUACCCAGCACCUUGUGACCCCUGCCCCUGCCCGCAAGAGAUAACCAUCUUUAACUGUAACUUUCCACUACCUACCUAAAUCCUGUAAAAACUGACCCACCCCCUAUCUCCCUUUGCUGACUCCUUUUUCGGACUCAGCCCGCCUGCACCCAGGUGAUUAAAAAGCUUUAUUGUUCACAUGAAGCCUGUUUGGUGGUCUCUUCACACAGACACGCAUGACAUUUUGGGAGGCUGAGGCGGGUGGAUCACCUGUAGUCAGGAGUUUGAGACCAGCCUGGCCAACAUGGUGAAACCCUGUCUCUACUAAAAAUACAAAAAUUAGCCGGGCGCAGUGGUGGGCACCUGUAAUCCCAGCUACUCAGUAGGCUGAGGCAAGAGAAUCGCUUGAAUCCAGGAGGAGGAGAUUGCAGUGAGCCGAGAUCAUGCCACUGCCAUCCAGCCUGGGUGACAGAGACGCUGUCUCAAAAAAAAAGAAUCUGUGCAAAGCAGAGGUCCAGGCGCAUUAGAGGAGCUGAAGGAAACUCUAGGCUGGGUCUUCACAAGCGGAAGAUGAGACAGUGCUGCUUCUGGGGCUGAGCCACAUCCAGCCAUGGUCAAUGGUGGCAUGUUUAGCACCAGGGUGAUAGGAAGCCGUGCAAAGCUUCAAGCAGUGGGGUUGCUUUUUUUUUUUUUUUUUGACACAGAAUCUCACUCUGUCGCCCAGGCUGGAACUGCAAUGGCAUGACCAUGACUCGCUGCAGCCUCCACCUCCCAGGCUCAAGCGAUCCUCCUGCCUCAGGCUCCCGAGUAGCUAGGGCUACAGCCAUGUGCCACUAUGCCUGGCUAAUAUGGUUUAUUUUUUGUAGAGACGAGGUCUCGCUAUGUUGCCCAGGCUGGUUUCAAACUCCUGAGCUCAAGCAAUCUGCCCGCCUCAGCCUCCCAAAGCACUGGGAUUACAGGCGUGAGCCACUGCGCUCGGCCAUUUUUCUUUUCUUUUUUUUUUUUUUUUGAGACAAGGUCUCACUCUCAUCCAGGCUACAGUUCAGUGUGGCGAUCAUAGCUCACUGCAGCCUCUAACUCCUGGGCUCAAAUGAUCCUCCUGCCUUAGCCUCCCUGGUUGCUAGCAGUACAGGCGUGCACCACCACGUUAAUUUUUAAUUUUUUUUUUUUGAGAUGGAGUCUUGCUCUGUCUUCCAGGCUAGAGUACAGUGGUGCAAUAUUGGCUCCUCCGCCUCCUGGGUUCAAGCGAUUCUCCUGCCUCAGCCUCUUGAGUAGCUGGGACUACAGGCACAUGCAACCACGCCUGGCUAAUUUUUGUAUUUUUAGUAGAGAUGGGGUUUCACCAUGUUGGCCAGGCUGGUCUUGAACUCCUGGCUUCAAGUGAUCCUCCCACCUCAAUCUCCCAAAUCCCUGGGAUUACAAGCGUGAGCCACCGCACCCAGCCAGGUUACCAUAUUAAUAUGUGGUUUGAGAUGCUUUAUCAGGACAUGCUGGGCACAGGCCAUCGGGACAGAGCAGAGGAGAGCGGGGAGGAAGAGGAGGCUGUUUUCAGGUGUCCUGGCAAGCGGUGAGGGUCCUCUGCCCCAGAGCGGUGGCCUCACCAAGGCCCUCUGUGUGCCUCAAAAGCACUCCUUUGGCCGGGCACGGUGGCUCACGCCUGUAAUCCCAGCACUUUGAGAGGCCGA
rnacentral:lncRNA from 1 species